rnacentral:rRNA from 1 species
UCGAGAAUCAUUCGCAAUGGGCGAAAGCCUGACGAUGCGACGCCGUGUGAACGAUGAAGGCCUUCGGGUUGUAAAGUUCUUUCGCCUGGGAACAAGAGAAGCCAGCUAACAUCUGGCCGAUUUGAGGGUACUAGGUAAAGAAGCACCGGCUAACUCCGUGCCAGCAGCUGCGGUAAUACGGAGGGUGCAAGCAUUAAUCGGAUUUAUUGGGCGUAAAGGGCGCGUAGGCGGGGUUGUCAGUCAGAUGUGAAAUCCCGGGGCUCAACCCCGGAACUGCAUUUGAUACUGCAUCUCUUGAGGGUAGGCGGAGAAAACGGAAUUCCACAUGUAGCGGUGAAAUGCGUAGAUAUGUGGAAGAACACCGGUGGCGAAGGCGGUUUUCUAGCUUAUUCCUGACGCUGAAGCGCGAAAGCAAGGGGAGCAAACAG